AUUCAGAUAGCUCAAUUGAUAGAGCAUGAGACCCCUGAAUCUCAGGGUUGUGGGUUUGAGCCCAACGUUGUGUG